rnacentral:hammerhead_ribozyme from 1 species
AGCCAGCUGACGAGUCCCAAAUAGGACGAAACGUGCGUCCUGGAU